rnacentral:lncRNA from 1 species
GAGAGGGAGAUGGCCGAUCUGGUUCCUGAAACAAAAGAGAGUUAUUUUUAUGAGUUUUUAUGAAUCAAAAUGAUGAACAGAAAGAAAACUAAAUGAUAAAUGAAGAACAUAAACAAAUAAGACAUUUUAUGGGUUUUUUAUAUUGAAUGGAAAAUCUAGAACUAUAUGAUGCAAAAUGAAACAAAAUAAGAGAAGGAUAGAGAUGGCUGAUGGAUUCAAGUUGCUGGACUGAUGUCUCUCUCAACAAGAACAGGGGAUGGAGAUGGCGUGAAGGUGGGAUCUUGCUUGCUGGACUGAUGUCUCUCUCAAGCCGGAUCAAGGGAUGGAUUGAAGUGGAUUUGCGGAUGAGGUUUUGAUUGAAUCUCUCAAUCUGAUGGAAUGAUGGAUCGAAAUGAUUGACUCUCUCAAUCUGUGUACUGAGCUUGUUUGAUUUGCACAAACAAACUAGACUCACGAAAUCAAUAGAACAACAAAGAAUCUAUCUUUGAAUCCUAAAGACCGAUGUUUUAUACAAAGAACAAUCUUUGAUAAAAACUGAAUAACUUUUUAUUAACUUGGUGAUUAAGGGUGCUCUCUACAAUGGACGACAAUGAGCUUAUAUAAUGCUCAGAUACAAGACUCUAAACGUUCACAAAAGAAAAGAAAGGAAACAAAUCUAAACUAAGCACGAAAUCGGAAACUAGCCGUUGGAGCCUUUUGUGGGAUUUUGGCUCCAAGUGAAGAAACUUGAUUUUCUUGAAUCUGGACGGUUUAAGGGGAUAAGAGAGCUUUAUUGGGACCUUCUUGAAUGCUUGGUAGAUGCUGAUCUCGUCCUUGCCUUGGUAGAAAAAGAGCUGUUGGAGUUUGAAUGCAAGAGACUCCAAAUAAGGCAGUUUGGUGAUAAUGGGGAUCUUCUUAUUCCUAUGUGGGCUGGUGCAUGGGAUGAAGUUGUAGAACUCUUCUGGCUCGUGUAUAAUGUCUCCUGGAUGUCUUGGUUUUGUCUGAACGUCGUCUGGUUCUCCUGGUUGGAUUGGAAUUGCUUGGAAUGGAUCAAACCGAAAGAUUGUCCAAUCUUUCCAUAUAUAGCUCCGGUUGGGUUUAAGUGAUUCUCCAUUGAACCAACUGAUCUCCUGGGUUAUGGUGCAGCUAAGGACUUCUGGAAUACCUUCUGAUUGGUUAAGAUGAUCUCCUGGUUCCCAUAAAUAGCUCUGGGUCGAACCAAGUUGAAUUGGUUGAAGACUUUCCAUAGAUGACGUCGGUUUGGCCGGUUCUGGGGAAUUGAUCAUAACUCCUAAUUUCCGUGGCCAUUUCUCCUGAUUUUGGGCUUUAUGGAAAGAUGAUAAACUCCUCUUGACUUCUAUGAUGGGUUUUUCUUCAGGCCGCUCCUUCAUUGAGCUUGAAUCUUCUUCUAAAGUCGGGUACUCGCAGAUGGACGGGUUGAGAAACCUAUGAAUUGUAGAAUUCAUAACUUCUUUCUCCGUGAUUAUUUUGACCCAAUUCCAAUUGGCCUGGACUCCUUCUUGAGUGUAGAAUGCAUACAAAUUAGCCUCGUGAUUUUAACCCUCCUGGUUUGUAAGAUAUGGCAUUUUUAGUGCACGUAUGUCCUGGUUGGCGCCUUGGCUGGUUGAGUAGGGUGUUGGGUCGACCUCUGGUUCAGCUGCUGAAUUGCUGGCCGCAACAUUCCCUCCCCCUUGAAAAUGUUUCGACCUCGAAACUGUAUAACCUUGAUAUUGUUUCGGUUUGGGGAUGGAUUGUGCAUCAGGUGGCUCUUCUUUCAGCAAAUAGGAUAGGAUCACGCCUCUGCUUUUGACUUUGGCAUUUCUUAUCUCCUUCAGUGGAUGGUCCUUCAUACUCCUAGUAGGCUCAGUUCUGACCAUCUUUGGUUUUGAUUCUCCUAGCAACAAAAGAUUAUCCGGUGGGAUUUCUUUGAAGCUUUCUCCUUUGCAACCUGAAAAAUUCUCAACGUUCUGGACAAAAAUCAAGUGCAUUAUAUCUGUGUUUGGACACUGAUAAAAAUAAUUUGAAAUUUCCAGACUUACUUUGAUAGCUUCCACAAGUUGAAGAAUGAUUUUCUUAUUUGGACAACUUGUUUUUUUUUUGCUGCCUUCUUUGCAUCUUUUGACCUUGGUGGUUAUGAACUUCAACUUCUUUUAUUCCUGGAUCAAAACUUUUUGGCAAAGACAAGUGCAUUAUAUCUGGAUAAUCAAGUGUCUUGGACGUUUUAAGAUCAGAGAAGAUUACCUUAAGCCUUGGCAUUUGAACACAUUGUUCAACACUAGACUUCCACUUGUGAGGUGGUUCAUGGCUGGGCUUAUGGUCUGGUUCUUUCCUUAGAACUUCAGGAAGCAAAUAGCUUUCAUUUUUACUCUCUACAUCAAGAACACACACGUCAAUACCAGUUUCUCUAGGUGGUGUUUGACACUUACCUUGGUUUGAUACUUUAUUUACUGGUUUUGCUUCUUUAAGCAACAUGGACUGCAUUGUGUCUUGAACCUUCUCCUGGUUCAUCACUGGUGUGGCGCCUGGUGGCUCCUCUCCUUUGAAUUCUUGCUCUUUAAUUCCUGUUAAAACACCUUUUGACAAAGACAAGUGCAUUACACAAGAAUUUGGAACCAACAAAUCAGAUUGAAUAAAACUAUCACUCUUCAUAGAUAAAUCUGUUUUCUUUUCUAGUGAUGUUUCUAUCAAUACUUGUUUAGUAGGACAAACUACAGCAUAGUGUCCUUUCUUAUGACAUCUAUAACAUGUCUGAUAUUUUAAAUCCUCAGAUUUAGAAGACUUACCUUGGCUUGAUGGCGCUUCUUCCUUUGGGUUUAAAAUCUCCUUGUCUCUUGGACUUAAAUCAUGGACAACUUUGGAUCUCAACAAGGAUGUGGAGUUCGUGUCUUUCUGGACCUCAGGACCUGUCUUAACAUCCUUGGACAAAGACAAGUGACUCAUACCAGUUGGAGAUGAUUUAUAAACAAAUUUAUCAAGUAUAGGACUUACCUUGGCCUUUUCUUGAAAAAUAGGUUUGUCUGAUUUUUCUUUGUGUCUGGCCAACGUGUCUUGGCUGACAAAGUUCUUUCUCUCCAUGGUCUUUGGGACCUCAUAAGGUUGGGACUGAUCAUAGAGAACUGUGUGCCCCUGGUUUGGCCGAAUCUGUUCUUGAUGGAUCAAGCUUCUAUGGCCUUGUUGUGGCACCACUCUCUUUGCCUCUUUGGACCCAUGGCUUGAAAACCUCCUUGGGUACCUUUCUCUAAUCUCUGGUGUUGGAAGUGAGGAUACAUACUUCCUGAUCAUGGCCUCUUUAAGAUCUUCCCACGUUUUGAUAGCCUCUCUUUGACUCUUCCAUCUUGCACCAUCUACACCUUUCCACCAUUUGUAUGCACUUCCGGUGAGUUGUUUGAUGGCAUGGCUCAGCUUUUCUUUCUUUGGCACGCCAUGGAAUGAAAACCAAUCAUCCAUGGUUCUUUCCCAUGAGAGAUAGUCAUCUGGCCAACUGCUUCCUGAAAAAGAAUAAAUAUUAACAUCAUCAGCAGAGUCAUAAUCAUGAUAAGAAUUAUUUGAGUAUUCAUGAGUAUAAGAAGUUUGGUGUUUGGUGAUCCAUGAAGGAUCUGGUGGCUUGGGCUCAACAUAGCCAGCAUCUAGUGCAUCUCCAAAUCUUCUUUCUCCUUGCUGUGGUCGUUGGCCUUGUGCCUUGUUUCUUUUCUCCAGCUGAGAAAUCUGAUCUUGUACACCCUUGAUAGCAGCCAAUAGCUGUUUUUGAGAGGCCAAUAAGGCUUGCCUUUGUGCUAAUUCUUCCAUUUCUUCCUGCAAGCAAUCACAAAGAUCAAGUGAAGAAUAGGGAAUUUAUGGUCGGAUCAGAAUAAGAACCAAAAUGCAAGCUAAUUAAAACUAAACCGAGAAAAAAUGCAAUGUUGAACCGAAAUGAAAUAAAUUAUGCAAAAUGAUUUUUCUUUUGGUUUUCUUAAUGCAAAUCUCGAAAUGAAACAAUAAUAAAUGACAAUUAACACAAAUGAAAGAAAAUAUGGAAAGAUAACUAAUGCUGAAUUUUUUUUUUGACUUUUCUUUGGAUGAAAUGCAACAAUUAAAUAUGCAAAUGAUAUAAACUAAAGCUUAAAAAUAUUUUCUUUUUCUUUUCUGAUGCAAUCACGAAAUGGACAAGUAGAAAUGGUAGGAAACAAUAACUAGGAUGAUUUCUUUUGGCUUUUGAAUUUAUGAAUGCAAAUGAAAAGGAAUCAAAUUCAAAACAAAAAUUUUUAUGGGAUUUUCUUUUAUGGAAACUAAUGAAUGCAAACACUUUCUUUUGGGAUUUUCGAUUUUUAAAUGAAUCAAACAAAACUUUUUCUUUUCUUUUUCGUGGCUUUAAAGUAUGAUGAACAGCAAGAACAAAAAUAUGCAGAAACAAAACUUGAAACAAAAAGAAACAGUUUUUAUGGAUUUUCGGUUUAUGAAUGGAAAAACAAAUGCAAGCAAGUAUGAGAUGCAAGGAUAGAUAUCACCUGACUCAAGAACAUUUCGGCUCUGAUACCAAAUGUUGCAGGCUGGGAUUCAGACUACUCAAAUGGACGGACUGAGGUUCAGGAACUCGGACUGGACAGGACGGACGGACGGCUAUGGAGCGGCUAGACGGACGCGAUGGAGAGGGAGAUGGCCGAUCUGGUUCCUGAAACAAAAGAGAGUUAUUUUUAUGAGUUUUAUGAAUCAAAAUGAUGAACAGAAAGAAAACUAAAUGAUAAAUGAAGAACAUAAACAAAUAAGACUUUUUAUGGGUUUUUAUAUUGAAUGGAAAAUCUAGAACUAUAUGAUGCAAAAUGAAACAAAAUAAGAGAAGGAUAGAGAUGGCUGAUGGAUUCAAGUUGCUGGACUGAUGUCUCUCUCAACAAGAACAGGGGAUGGAGAUGGCGUGAAGGUGGGAUCUUGCUUGCUGGACUGAUGUCUCUCUCAAGCCGGAUCAAGGGAUGGAUUGAAGUGGAUUUGCGGAUGAGGUUUUGAUUGAAUCUCUCAAUCUGAUG